CUCUUCGAUGUUCUGGGCUGCACGCGCGCUACAGUGGCAAAGACAGAGAGCAUGAAUUAAUUAUAGAGUCGCAUCGAGGGAUGUGACGAAUCAGCAAUCGUUGUCGUGAUUGGGAUUGAGCGUUGUAAUAUCUGCUCAUGAAAGAGGAAUUCCUCGUAAGCGCGAGUCACUAACUCGUGUUAAUUACGUCCCUGCCCUUUGUACACACCGCCCGUCGCUACUACCGAUUGAAUGGUUUAGUGAGGACUCCUGAUUGGCGCCGCCGCCCCGGCAACGGAGCAGCGGACUGCCGAAAAGUUGUUCAAACUUGAUCAUUUAGAGGAAGUAAAAGUCGUAACA
rnacentral:rRNA from 1 species